GCCUGCAGCUUGCUGCGGGUACUCGAGUGGCGAACGGGUGAGUAACACGUGGGUGAUCUGCCUUGCACUUCGGGAUAAGCUUGGGAAACUGGGUCUAAUACCGGAUAGGACAGCUGUUUAGUGUCAGUUGUGGAAAGUUUUUUCGGUGCAAGAUGAGCUCGCGGCCUAUCAGCUUGUUGGUGGGGUAAUGGCCUACCAAGGCGUCGACGGGUAGCCGGCCUGAGAGGGUGUACGGCCACAUUGGGACUGAGAUACGGCCCAGACUCCUACGGGAGGCAGCAGUGGGGAAUAUUGCACAAUGGGCGGAAGCCUGAUGCAGCGACGCCGCGUGGGGGAUGAAGGCCUUCGGGUUGUAAACUCCUUUCGACAGGGACGAAGCGUAAGUGACGGUACCUGUAUAAGAAGCACCGGCUAACUACGUGCCAGCAGCCGCGGUAAUACGUAGGGUGCGAGCGUUGUCCGGAAUUACUGGGCGUAAAGAGCUCGUAGGUGGUUUGUCGCGUCGUCUGUGAAAUUCCGGGGCUUAACUCCGGGCGUGCAGGCGAUACGGGCUGACUUGAGUGCUGUAGGGGAGACUGGAAUUCCUGGUGUAGCGGUGAAAUGCGCAGAUAUCAGGAGGAACACCGAUGGCGAAGGCAGGUCUCUGGGCAGUAACUGACGCUGAGGAGCGAAAGCAUGGGUAGCGAACAGGAUUAGAUACCCUGGUAGUCCAUGCCGUAAACGGUGGGCGCUAGGUGUAGGGGGCUUCCACGUCUUCUGUGCCGUAGCUAACGCAUUAAGCGCCCCGCCUGGGGAGUACGCCGCAAGGCUA
rnacentral:rRNA from 1 species